GUCUAUGGCCAUACCACCCUGAAUGCGCCCGAUCUCAUCUGAUCUCGGAAGCUAAGCAGGGUUGGGACUGGUUACUUGGACAGGAGGAGGACAAGGGUUAUAGUUU
ensembl:rRNA 5S_rRNA 5S ribosomal RNA